rnacentral:rRNA from 2 species
CGAACGCUGGCGGCAGGCUUAACACAUGCAAGUCGAGCGCCCCGCAAGGGGAGCGGCAGACGGGUGAGUAACGCGUGGGAACGUACCUUUUGCUACGGAAUAACUCAGGGGAACUUGUGCUAAUACCGUAUGUGCCCUUCGGGGGAAAGAUUUAUCGGCAAAGGAUCGGCCCGCGCUGGAUUAGCUAGUUGGUGAGGUAAAGGCUCACCAAGGCGACGAUCCAUAGCUGGUCUGAGAGGAUGAUCAGCCACACUGGGACUGAGACACGGCCCAGACUCCUACGGGAGGCAGCAGUGGGGAAUAUUGGACAAUGGGCGCAAGCCUGAUCCAGCCAUGCCGCGUGAGUGAUGAAGGCCCUAGGGUUGUAAAGCUCUUUCACCGGUGAAGAUAAUGACGGUAACCGGAGAAGAAGCCCCGGCUAAC